GAAUUGCUUGUCUUCAUGAGAUCUGGGCGUUGAGCUAUUGUCACUUGAUUACAUUGAUGCAUACAUGCUGUUACAUAGCCUUGCAAUUUAACUGCUUCUCUGCUUCCCUCCAGCUGCGGCACAGUGAGGGAGAGGAAUUAAAGUGUACACAGAACCUAAAAUUCUGCUCUAAGGAAUUUGGAUCAAGUUGAGUAUGAGUGGCAUGUUUGGACCCAUGUCCUUGAUGAACCAGAAAGAUGGAUAUAACAUGAAGAAAAGGAAGAGAAAAUCCACUGCAGACAUAUCCAAAUUCAGGGAGCAAAACAUGGUCAAACUUGAGUGCCUAUAUUAGGCUGAAAACCCAGAGAGGCUGAAUCUUUUCAUCCCUGUCGAGUCACUGAGAUCUACAGAGGAAGUCUCGGUUAGUGAUCCCCCAUGGCUCAGGUGCAUGAGGAGCCAAGAGUACAAUAUUGUGGCACCCCAGCAUUUUCUAUUUCUAUAAGCUGCGCUGGGGCCUUAUGGAGAAGGGCAGGUAAGAAAUCUUAUCAAUCAGUCAGUCACCUACACUGCAGGAGGGAAGCAAGAAUCCACCAGAAAUUAAGAAAGAAUAUGGGUUUCCAGUUCUCCCUUACCAAUCCCACAACAGAAGAUUAGUAUGCUUCUUAUACAGGGAAGGGGCAUGUGUAGGUGUUGACUACAUUGACACAAACCAUGCCCAGG
rnacentral:lncRNA from 1 species